rnacentral:sRNA from 1 species
GAAAUUGCAUUAACUGCAAGCUGACUAGCAGAGCUGCUGCCAUACAAAGUGUAGAGGGGCGCAAAACUGGAAAUAGCAGAAUUGCAUUAAUUGCAAGAUGACUAGCAGAGUACAUCAACCACAGCAAGGAGGAUUAGCUAAGUGGACUCUACAGCCAAUAGGCCACAUAAUUAAGUUAGUUUUAAGUUAAUUCGAAAUGUGCAUUUAGGCGCAAGCGCUGUCAUAUAAGUUCGCUGCAUAUAUGUAUAUAUGUGCCGUAAAUA